CCUGGCUCAGGAUGAACGCUAGCUACAGGCUUAACACAUGCAAGUCGAGGGGCAGCAUGGUCUUAGCUUGCUAAGGCCGAUGGCGACCGGCGCACGGGUGAGUAACACGUAUCCAACCUGCCGUCUACUCUUGGACAGCCUUCUGAAAGGAAGAUUAAUACAAGAUGGCAUCAUGAGUCCGCAUGUUCACAUGAUUAAAGGUAUUCCGGUAGACGAUGGGGAUGCGUUCCAUUAGAUAGUAGGCGGGGUAACGGCCCACCUAGUCUUCGAUGGAUAGGGGUUCUGAGAGGAAGGUCCCCCACAUUGGAACUGAGACACGGUCCAAACUCCUACGGGAGGCAGCAGUGAGGAAUAUUGGUCAAUGGGCGAGAGCCUGAACCAGCCAAGUAGCGUGAAGGAUGACUGCCCUAUGGGUUGUAAACUUCUUUUAUAAAGGAAUAAAGUCGGGUAUGGAUACCCGUUUGCAUGUACUUUAUGAAUAAGGAUCGGCUAACUCCGUGCCAGCAGCCGCGGUAAUACGGAGGAUCCGAGCGUUAUCCGGAUUUAUUGGGUUUAAAGGGAGCGUAGAUGGAUGUUUAAGUCAGUUGUGAAAGGUUGCGGCUCAACCGUAAAAUUGCAGUUGAUACUGGAUAUCUUGAGUGCAGUUGAGGCAGGCGGAAUUCGUGGUGUAGCGGUGAAAUGCUUAGAUAUCACGAAGAACUCCGAUUGCGAAGGCAGCCUGCUAAGCUGCAACUGACAUUGAGGCUCGAAAGUGUGGGUAUCAAACAGGAUUAGAUACCCUGGUAGUCCACACGGUAAACGAUGAAUACUCGCUGUUUGCGAUAUACUGCAAGCGGCCAAGCGAAAGCGUUAAGUAUUCCACCUGGGGAGUACGCCGGCAACGGUGAAACUCAAAGGAAUUGACGGGGGCCCGCACAAGCGGAGGAACAUGUGGUUUAAUUCGAUGAUACGCGAGGAACCUUACCCGGGCUUAAAUUGCAGAUGAAUUACGGUGAAAGCCGUAAGCCGCAAGGCAUCUGUGAAGGUGCUGCAUGGUUGUCGUCAGCUCGUGCCGUGAGGUGUCGGCUUAAGUGCCAUAACGAGCGCAACCCUUGUUGUCAGUUACUAACAGGUUCCGCUGAGGACUCUGACAAGACUGCCAUCGUAAGAUGUGAGGAAGGUGGGGAUGACGUCAAAUCAGCACGGCCCUUACGUCCGGGGCUACACACGUGUUACAAUGGGGGGUACAGAGGGCCGCUACCACGCGAGUGGAUGCCAAUCCCCAAAACCUCUCUCAGUUCGGACUGGAGUCUGCAACCCGACUCCACGAAGCUGGAUUCGCUAGUAAUCGCGCAUCAGCCACGGCGCGGUGAAUACGUUCCCAGGCCUUGUACACACCGCC
rnacentral:rRNA from 1 species